CUACGACGGGUACGGGUUGUGAGAGCAAGAGCCCGGAGAUGGAUUCUGAGACACGAAUCCAGGCCCUACGGGGUGCAGCAGGCGCGAAAACUUUACAAUGCCGGCAACGGCGAUAAGGGGACCUCGAGUGCCAGGUUACAAAUCUGGCUGUCGUGAUGCCUAAAAAGCAUUGCAUAGCAAGGGCCGGGCAAGACCGGUGCCAGCCGCCGCGGUAACACCGGCGGCUCGAGUGGUAACCGUUAUUAUUGGGUCUAAAGGGUCUGUAGCCGGCCGGAUAAGUCUCUUGAGAAAUCCAGCAGCUCAACUGUUGGGCUUUCAGGAGAUACUGUUCGGCUCGAGGCCGGGAGAGGUGAGAGGUACUUCAGGGGUAGGGGUGAAAUCUUGUAAUCCUUGAAGGACCACCAGUGGCGAAGGCGUCUCACCAGAACGGACCUGACGGCAAGGGACGAAAGCUAGGGGCACGAACCGGAUUAGAUACCCGGGUAGUCCUAGCCGUAAACGAUACUCGCUAGGUGUCGGCCACGGUGCGACCGUUGUCGGUGCCGUAGGGAAGCCGUGAAGCGAG
rnacentral:rRNA from 1 species